rnacentral:rRNA from 1 species
ACACGUAGGGGCCUGACGUUGUUCGGAAUCAUUGGGCGUAAAGGGCGCGCAGGCGGCCGUCCAAGUCCGGUGUUAAAUGGUCGGGCUCAACCCGAUCAUGCGCUGGAAACUGGGCGGCUGGAGUCCCGGAGGGGAUGCCGGAAUUCCAGGUGUAGGGGUGAAAUCUGUAGAUAUCUGGAAGAACACCGAUGGCGAAGGCAGGCAGCUGGCCGGAGACUGACGCUGAGGCGCGAAGGCGCGGGGAGCGAACAGGUUUAGAUACCCUGGUAGUCCGCGCAGUAAACGAUGCGCACCAGGUGUCGGGCGGCAGCGCCCGGUACCGGAGCAAACGCGAUGAGUGCGCCGCCUGGGGAGUAUGCCCGCAAGGGUGAAACUCAAAUGAAUUGACGGGG